AGAGUUUGAUCAUGGCUCAGGAUGAACGCUAGCGGCGUGCCUAAUGCAUGCAAGUCGAACGGGAUCCUUUUGAUUCGUCUUAAGGUGAUAGUGGCGGACGGGUGAGUAACACGUAGGUGACGUACCCCAGAGAGAGGGACAACCAUUGGAAACGAUGGCUAAUACCUCGGAUGUUAUACUCCUUAGAAAGGUAUGACUAAAUGCUCCGGCGCUCUGGGAGUGGCCUGCGGCCCAUGGGAGUGGCCUGCGGCCCAUCAGCUAGUUGGUAAGGUAAUGGCUUACCAAGGCUAAGACGGGUAGGGGGCGUGAGAGCGCGAUCCCCCACACUGGUACUGAGACACGGACCAGAUACCUGCGGGUAGCAGCAGCAAGGAAUAUUGCGCAAUGGGCGAAAGCCUGACGCAGCAACACCGCGUGGAGGAUGAAUGUCUUCGGAUUGUAAACUCCUUUUCUGGGGGAAGAGAAAGGACGGUACCCCAGGAUUUUGACAGUACCCCAGGAAUAAGUCUCGGCUAACUACGUGCCAGCAGCCGCGGUAAAACGUAGGAGGCGAGCGUUAUCCGGAAUUACUGGGCGUAAAGCGCAUGCAGGCGGUUUUUAAGUCGGACGUGAAAGCUCCUGGCACAACUAGGAGAGGCCGGUUCGAAACUAGGAAGCUUGAGGAUGAUAGAGGCGAGUGGAAUUCCCGGUGUAGUGGUGAAAUGCGUAGAUAUCGGGAGGAACACCAGUGGCGAAGGCGGCUCGCUGGGUCAUACCUGACGCUAAGAUGCGAAAGCCAGGGGAGAGAACGGGAUUAGAAACCCCGGUAUUCCUGGCCGUAAACGAUGUCAACUAGGUGUAGGGGGUAUCCAACCCCCCUGUGCUGCAGCUAACGCAUUAAGUUGACCGCCUGGGGACUACGGCCGCAAGGCUAAAACUCAAAGGAAUUGACGGGGACCCGCACAAGCAGCGGAGCGUGUGGUUUAAUUCGAGGCUACGCGAAGAACCUUACCAGGGUUUGACAUGGCGGUGGGUAGGAAAGCGAAAGCUGACCGACCCUUCGGGGAGCCGUCACAGGUGCUGCAUGGCUGUCGUCAGCUCGUGCCGUGAGGUGUUAGGUUAAGUCCUGUAACGAGCGCAACCCUCGUCGUUAGUUAUACGUGUCUAACGAGACUGCCGGUGAUAAGCCGGAGGAAGGUGAGGAUGACGUCAAGUCAGCAUGGCCUUUAUAUCCUGGGCUACACACACGCUACAAUGGCCGGUACAAUGGGUUGCGAAACCGCGAGGUGAAGCCAAUCCUCCAAAGCCGGUCUCAGUUCGGAUUGCAGGCUGCAACUCGCCUGCAUGAAGUCGGAGUUGCUAGUAACCGCGCGUCAGCAACAGUGCGGUGAAUACGUUCCCGGGUCUUGUACACACCGCCCGUCACGUCAUGGAAGUUGGCAACGCCUGAAGUCAGUGAGCUAACCCUCGCGGGAGGCAACUGCCCAAGGCGGGGUCGGUAACUGGGACGAAGUCGUAACAAGGUAGCCGCA
rnacentral:rRNA from 1 species